AUUAAUUCAAAUUCUUUUUUUCUCUUUGGUUGCUGUUAAUGCCCUCUGUUUUUCGAAGUAACCAUGCAAAACUUGGUUCUGCGGGUAAUACCCUUGUUGUUCUAAGUAACAUGCAAAAUGUUGUUCUAAGCAACAUGCAAAACUUGGGCCUGCUGGUGAUGCCUUCUAUUUUUCUAAAUAACCAUGCAAAGUUCCCAAGUCUCUUAUAAUACUUUACUGAUUCUAUAAUUACUG
rnacentral:lncRNA from 1 species